AGUGAACGCUGGCGGCAGGCCUAAUACAUGCAAGUCGAACGGCAGCACAGCAGAGCUUGCUCUGUGGGUGGCGAGUGGCGGACGGGUGAGGAAUACAUGGGAAUCUGCCCAGUCGUGGGGGAUAACGUAUGGAAACGUACGCUAAUACCGCAUGCGCCCUACGGGGGAAAUCGGGGACCGCAAGGCCUGACGCGAUUGGAUGAGCCCAUGUUCGAUUAGCUAGUUGGCGGGGUAAAGGCCCACCAAGGCGACGAUCGAUAGCUGGUCUGAGAGGAUGAUCAGCCACACUGGAACUGAGACACGGUCCAGACUCCUACGGGAGGCAGCAGUAGGGAAUAUUGGACAAUGGGGGCAACCCUGAUCCAGCCAUGCCGCGUGAGUGAAGAAGGCCCUCGGGUUGUAAAGCUCUUUUGUCCGGAAGAAAAGCAAUCGGUUAAUACCCGGUUGUUCUGACGGUACCGGAAGAAUAAGCACCGGCUAACUUCGUGCC
rnacentral:rRNA from 1 species